ACGGGAGGCAGCAGUAGGGAAUCUUCCGCAAUGGACGAAAGUCUGACGGAGCAACGCCGCGUGAGCGAAGAAGGUCUUCGGAUCGUAAAGCUCUGUUGUUAGGGAAGAACAAGUACCGGAGUAACUGACGGUACCUUGACGGUACCUAACCAGAAAGCCACGGCUAACUACGUGCCAGCAGCCGCGGUAAU
rnacentral:rRNA from 1 species